UACGAAGGGGGCUAGCGUUGUUCGGAAUUACUGGGCGUAAAGCGCACGUAGGCGGAUAUUUAAGUCAGGGGUGAAAUCCCAGAGCUCAACUCUGGAACUGCCUUUGAUACUGGGUAUCUUGAGUAUGGAAGAGGUGAGUGGAAUUCCGAGUGUAGAGGUGAAAUUCGUAGAUAUUCGGAGGAACACCAGUGGCGAAGGCGGCUCACUGGACCGUUGCUGACGCUGAGGCGCGAAAGCGUGGGGAGCAAACAGG
rnacentral:rRNA from 1 species